CACCGCGGUUAUACGAGUAACCCAUAUUAAUACUUACCCGGCGUAAAGGGUGGUUACAGAAAAAUCUGCAAUAACUAAAGUUAAGACUCCAUCAAGCUGUUAUACGCACCCAUGAUUGGAAACAUCAACAACGAAAGUGACUUUAUUAAAAUUAGAAACCUUGAUUCCACGACAGUUGGGCCC
rnacentral:rRNA from 1 species